rnacentral:pre_miRNA from 1 species
CUUAUACUUUGUCUGUCGGAAAAUAUUUGUUGGAGAAAUGGAUGUAUUUAGACAUAUUUUAGUUAUAGAUACAUCCAUUUUUGUUUAUUUCUCUCACAAGUAUUUUCGGACGGAGGGAAUAUGAG